GACGAACGCUGGCGGCGCGCUUAACACAUGCAAGUCGAGCGAAGCGGCGGACGGGUGAGUAACACGUGAGUAACCUGCCUUAGACAUUGGGAUAGCCUCGGGAAACCGGGAUUAAUACCAAAUGGUCUAAGAUGGACUCGCGUCCCAUUAGAGAGUUGGUGAGGUAACGGCCCACCAAGGAGACGAGGGGUAGCCGGCCUGAGAGGGUGAACGGCCACAUUGGAAGUGAGAGACGGCCCAGACGGUACGGGAGGGAGCAGUGGGGGAUAUUGCAAAAUGGGGGAAAGGCUGAGGCAGGGACGCCGCGUGGGGGAUGAAGGCUUUCGGGUUGUAAACCUCUUUCGCUAUCGAACGGGUAGGUGGAGAAGAAGCGCCGGCUAACUACGUGCCAGCAGCCGCGGUAAUUC
rnacentral:rRNA from 1 species